rnacentral:rRNA from 1 species
CCUACGGGGGGCUGCAGUGAGGAAUAUUGGUCAAUGGACGCAAGUCUGAACCAGCCAUGCCGCGUGAAGGAUGAAGGCGUUCUGCGUUGUAAACUUCUUUUAUUGGGGAAGAAACCUGAGUAUUCUUAUUCAGCCGACGGUACCCAAGGAAUAAGCACCGGCUAACUCCGUGCCAGCAGCCGCGGUAAUACGGAGGGUGCAAGCGUUAUCCGGAUUUACUGGGUUUAAAGGGUGUGUAGGCGGACUUUUAAGUCAGGGGUGAAAUCCCGAGGCUC